ACUGGGCUGGUCCAACUCGGCACGACGGACGGCUCUGAACCGUUCAGAUCCUGGUUCGAAUCCAGGGCCCAGUA
rnacentral:tRNA from 1 species